AUUGGAAAACAAACCCCUGGGAAGUUCGAGUGCUGUACGUGUAGUCAGUUUUUAGUUUCGUCACUAUUUCUUCGCUUGGAAUUUGAGCUCCAUGAUAUAGCAAAGCAUAGAAGACCCUUCUGCCAGCUGUCGAAAGGAAUCCUUCCAAGGAGAAACUUGCUCUAAUUGAUAAGAGUUGACCCGUAAGAGUUACCCAAACAGGAAUGGACAACAGAUGUGACAUACUAUCCUGCUGUAAUUUACCCUGACAUUGGGAACUAUGUUAUCUUCACUCCAAGUGUUUGUACCAUGGGUGACCUGAAAGUUUAUAAGAGCAUGGAUGCAUACAAUCAGUUUGUGUGUGGCUGGGUUCGCCAUGUGGGAGCUGUCAGAAAUGGAUACCAACUCGUCAGUGGAAAGGUUCUCCAUUCCCAAGAAUUGCGAGAAAAGCCCCUUUGGCCUUGGGUGAUUGCUAAACAAAGUGGGAAAAUUGUUGCUGCACAUUGCAACUGCAAGGCUGGCCUGGGAGAAGCUUGUUCACAUGUUGCAGCACUGCUGUUUUGGGUUGAAUCCAACAUCAAGAUACGGGACUCAAACACUGUCACGCAUGAGAAAGCAUACUGGAAGCUGCUAACACCUCCUCAAAAGUAGUCGAUACAAAAAACAAUGGACAAUGCUGCCAGCCAAUUCCUUUAACGCUGAGAAGAAAGUUUUUCAGCUUGUUCUCCCUGCUUUUUUAUAACAGCUGGAAUCCUGACUGGUCUCCUGACCUGUUUACGUCGGGCCUAGCUCUAUUAGAGCAGCCAACUGUUAGGAAUGGUAGUGUCCACCCCAUUCUCAAUGGUUUGUUUCGUAGCGUAUGCGCAAGCGUGGGAAUGUUAUGUGGAGAGCCGUGACUAAAUACAAGCACUACUGAGCAUUCAAAGCUGUCUCACGUCGUUUUUUUUGUUGACAAACAUGGUGUCAGAAGUGGCUAGAAGAAAAGACAAUACUGUGGAUUAAAACGCUGUUUCACCGCAGGACGCAAAAAAAAGAAAAAGUAACAACCGAAGCAGCCUUCUGCACUUGAUCUUCCUCAGUGGUCAUCUGUCUACCUUAAACGACUCUCUCGUAAGUGGUCAGAACCCCAUUGGUCUGGCCCAUACAAGGUGACUGCUUGUACCUCCAAAGCUGUCUGCUUGGAGGGGAAAGGAACUAAGUGGUUUCAUUAUUCUAUGCUUUGCCCUGCUACAGACUCUUAAACUUUUAUUUUGUUGUUUGUUCUUGUUUUAUUGUUAACCAUGAUUCCUACAGAUUGUCCGAUUAGUUUUCAGACUAAGAGAGUGAGAGCAGGAAUGUAUGGUAUUCUUAUUAUUGGUGUUAUUGUUGUUCUUGGUAUUUUGAUUGGGAAAUCGCUCAAAAAUACCCUAUACCCACACCCACAUCAGUGCCAGCCGUUAGCACAACCCACCCAGAAAAUAUUUAUCACAGAGCUAAACGGCAUAUGGGGGGAGGGAGGGAGGGGUCUCGCUUGUUAUUAUCCGGUGCCAAUGCUAUCCAAAAUCGCAAUGGAACAAUUGGAAAAUCGCUGAGAUUAUCCCAACAAAUGAACAGAUGAUCUUUAUUUUUGUUACAAUGCUUCCAAAUUCACUAGUGUAUUUAUGCUAAAUCUAAAUUUGUUUUCAAUCGGAGGGUACAAGACGAGUGAGUGGGGAGACUAUGAUUGGUAUAUAGAUACGAGCGGAUAUACAAAGGCUGGGGGCUGAGGAUAUGUCUCACACCACUUAUGGGGAUGGUGGAAUAAGGUGUCGGAAUGGAUGGUAAAAAUCCGCCAGAGACUGGCAACAGCGACACUCUAUCAGAAGAGGGAUGGCAAAUAGAUAACCCCAUUUGUUUCUGACCCUUAACACCACUCUUUCCCCUCUAUUGGGACCUCCCUGUGCCGUUCAUAAUACCCCUUAUUUCUCCUCCCCCAUUAAGUGUUACACAUUAGGCUUAUGUGUUUAUAAGACUAACAAAGAUCCAUGUACCUAUAUAAUUUUUGUCCGAAUAAAGCCGCCUUUAAUUUGACUAAGCAUCAGUAUAUAGUAUAUAUAGCACCGUAUCUUCGACUGCAUCCCGCGCAACAGUACGAACAGAUGUGCAUUAGUAACUUUACUUUUACCCAUUUCCGUUGUUCAAGUCACCCCAGAUGAUCUGGCGGUUGCUCCUGAACACUUCAAGGAAGCUCUUGGCCUACAACGUUCACAUAGGUCCAAACCUACCUGGCUCGGUGCUGAUCAGGUGUUGCCGUUUUUAAAAAUAUACCUGUACUUUCUGCUCUUUUCCCCAUUACUUCGAACAAAAAUGUCGACCGUAUCAAUUACAUACAUUAUAAUGUGCAACGUUUGGGCAACUUCACCCUUGAAGGACUUGAAGCUGUGCAUGAGCAACUCAAGGUUGCAUCGAUUAUGGCUUUUCAAAAUAGAAUCACAUUAGAUGCAUUGUUGGCCGAGAAAGGUGGUGUUUGUUCCUUUUUUGGCGACCAAUGCUGUACCAUUAUUCCAAAUAACACCCAACCUGGCGGACACCUCACUAAGGCCAUAGAUGGACUUAGAACCCUUACUCAAAAAUGAAGGAAUACUUUUUGUGUUGACACGUGUAUGUGGGAUAAAUGGAUUAAUGUGUUUGGUAAAUGGAAGGGUGUCAUUUCAUCACUCUUCAUCUCUCUCAAUCAGAGGGGUUGAAAAAAAGAGCGAAUACAAGGGAUGCAACAGCAUCCACAGAGGGUGAGAAAUAGGGGUGAAGAAAGCCAGUCUGAUUGAGAAGGCGACUGUUGCCCAAGCUGAUGGCCACGGUAAUUAUAUCCUCAUUAGACCACCGCCCCGACACACUCCUCAGGAUGAUUUCAGUGUUGCUGUCGCUCCCCUUGAAAAUGAUGCUGAACUUCCACCGCUUCCUGAUUGUCAUGAUGUUGACAUGCCCCGUGAUUGCAUUGCCCUUGCUCAUAUUGUGUGACUAUUCUGUUCUAUUUAUAAUUUUUGCGUGAUAUUACUUUUUUGUAUGUUUUGCUGUUUUUGAGUUGUCUAGUACUGUCCUACAGGUUUAAAGCGUGUUCUGAAUCAUGAGGCUAUGCACUUGUUUACUUGUGAUUUUCGUGUUUGUUUUUGUGAUCUAUUUCAUACAUCAAGAGAGGGGAUGAAGAGUACUUUGCUUUUAUUGUACUUUCAUUAUUUGCUUAAAUAUGACGUGAAACAGUUAAUCAACAGAUAAGGUUUUGUCUAUUUGCUAAUCAUACAAGAAUGUGUUGUGCAACGUGGCGGUUGUCCUUGAUCUUUGUACGCAGAAACCAUCUGGUGACAUCCUCCUCGCCCUGGCAUUGCCAUGCUGCGCCUGCAAGUAAAGGAGACAAACUACACUAUAUUAGGAGCACAAAGUUACUACCCUGCCUCAAGCCUAGACUUGGGCGGCAACCACUUCUACCAAUGGACCCAUACAUACAAAAACCUAGUGUUACCGGGCAACUUUAUCUUACUCUUAGGAUAUCUUGUCAGAAGACACACGUCUCAUGUGCAGCAGAUGCCUAACUAAGACCUGGACGUCUGUAUUACACAUUCCUUUGUAAUAAAUCCAUUUGCUGGUAA